UCCGGAAUAGCUCAGUUGGGAGAGCGUUAGACUGAAGUUGUUUACGCAACAGUCAUCUAAAGCUCCCCCCCCCCCCGGUUCUAUCCCGGGUUCCGACA
rnacentral:tRNA from 1 species